CCUACGGGAGGCAGCAGUGGGGGAUAUUGCACAAUGGGGGGAACCCUGAUGCAGCGACGCCGCGUGGGUGAAGGAGUGCUUCGGCAUGUAAAGCCCUAUCGGCAGGGAAGAAGCAAGACGUUACCUGACUAAGAAGCCCCGGCUACCUACGUGCCAGCAGCCGCGGUAAUACGUAGGGGGCGAGCGUUAUCCGGAUUCACGGGGUGGAAAGGGAGCGUAGACGGCCAUGCAAGCCAGGGGUGAAAGCCCGGGGCCCAACCCCGGGACUGCCCUUGGAACUGCAUGGCUGGAGUGCGGGAGGGGCAGGCGGAAUUCCUGGUGUAGCGGUGAAAUGCGUAGAUAUCAGGAGGAACACCGGCGGCGAAGGCGGACUGCUGGACCGCGACUGACGUUGAGGCUCGAAAGCGUGGGGAGCGAACAGGAUUAGAUACCCGAGUAGUC
rnacentral:rRNA from 1 species